GAUGAAUAACGUAGCGAAAUGCGAUACGUAAUGUGAAUUGCAGAAUUCAGUGAAUCAUCGAAUCUUUGAACGCAUAUUGCGCUCUUUGGUAUUCCGAAGAGCAUGCUUGUUUGAGUAUCAGUAAACACCUCAACCUCUUCUUGAUUUUUCAAAAGGAGGGUGGACUUGAGCUAUCCCAACAACCUUUACCGGUCGGCGGGCGGCUUGAAAUGCAGGUGCAGCUGGACUUUUAUCUGAGCUAAAAGCAUAUCUAUUUAGUCCUCGUCAAACAGUAUUAUUACUUUUGCUGCAGCUAACAUAAAGGAUAAUUGUCCUCUUUGCUGACUGAUGCAGGAUUUUACGACACUUUAUGUGUUGUUCAACUCGAUCUCAAAUCAAGUAAGACUACCCGCUGAACUUAAGCAUAUCAAUAAGCGGAGGA
rnacentral:misc_RNA from 1 species